UAAUCGAAAUGGUUCAUUUCUACGAUUAUUAUGUGGCCCAUUUGAAUACAAUCCUAAUCGAUACCAAUCUCUGACAUAACUACGUUCCGAUAAUCGUUCUAAGGUUUUAGCAUCAGUUGGUGGUUGAGUUACAAUACCAGGAAUUUCAAAAUCAUCUACUGUAAGGAUAAUAUAUGUAAAUAGACUGAGAAUUAUUGGAAUAUCAGAAAUAUUAAACAUUUAACUUACCACUAAGAUCAUCAUCAUGACUUAAAUCAUUAUUAUCUGUAACUGGUAAACUCAUUCGACCAGGUGAUGUCAUGUACUUAUUAUUAGUAAUCAUGUUCAUAUUUGGCAAGACGUAUUUUUGUCUUUUAGAUGACUGCUUUGGUUUAAAACCGGCUUUACGUGCAGUCUUUAAAAGUGUUUUCUUAGCAAACCCUCUAAAAAAAAAUCAUUUUAUUGUGAUAAAUGGUGUAACUUCUUCAUCGAAGGCUAACUUUAUCAAUUGAAAAGUACAUGAUCGCAAUUGGAGACCUUCUUGUAAACAUUGAUCUAAAUGUGCUAAAUGUUGCACUGCAACUCGUUUCUCUUUAGUUAAAGAUGUUACAGGAAAAGCACGCACUACUAAUUGUUCGCAAGCAAAUGGAUCACAAGGUUUUGGAUGAAUUCUUAUUAAUGUCAGGCAGCUCCUAUAUCCUUGUAAUAAUUGAGCAAAAGUUCUCAUAAAAACUGCUCGUAAUUCUUUAUCUAACAUAGGAGAGUGAGGAGCUCUUGUAGCAAGUGGUGGAAAAGCAUAAUCUGCACAAGCUAAUUCUGGUUGUAAUACUAAAGAUAAUGCAUCUUGUGUUUGUGAUAGAAGUGGUUCUGGAAGUAAUGGAAGUGCUACUCCAUCUGGAACCAUAAUAGAACCUCCAUCCAAGUCAGCGACUAUUACAUCCAUCUGCAAAAGAAUUUAACAUUUAAUAAAAAAUCGUUAUAAUAAAAUAAAGCAUAUUAUAUAAUUCUAUUGAACAUCUUACAAGUUCUGCAACUUCAUGUUUCAAUGAACUAUGUACACCCAUGAUAAAUGGAGUAGGUGUACUGAGUACUUCAACUAAAGCUGCUGGUAGAAGAGGAAUGUAAACAUGCGUGUAUCUAAAUGGAUACAUUAGUGCAGUAAGCGCACGACAUCCUUCAGUUAAUCGUGAAUAACUUGCAGAAUGAAAAAGUAUUUUAUGUUCUGUCAUAACAGCACAGAACAAUACUAGUACAUUACGAAUUCCUAUAAAAUAUAAAUAUAUUUUAAUAAAAAGUAUAAACAA
rnacentral:misc_RNA from 1 species